rnacentral:rRNA from 1 species
GACGAACGCUGGCGGCGUGCCUAAUACAUGCAAGUCGAGCGAACGGACGAGGUGCUUGCUCCUCUGAGGUUAGCAGCGGACGGGUGAGUAACACGUGGAUAACCUACCUAUAAGACUGGGAUAACAUUUGGAAACCGGAGCUAAUACCGGAUAAUAUUUUGAACCGCAAGGUUCAAGAGUGAAAGACGCUCUUGCUUCCACUAAAAGAUUGCCCCGGGUUGCAUUAGUUGGUUGUUAAGGUAACGGCUUACCAAGGCAAGGAUGCAUACCCGCCCUGAGAGGGUGGUGGGCCACACUGGAACUGAGACACGGCCCAGACUCCUAGGGGGGGACGCGGUAGGGAAUCUUCCGCAAGGGGGGAAAGCCUAACGGGGCAACGCGGGGUGAGGACUGAAGGUCUUCGGCCGUUAAAACUCUGUUAUUAGGGAGGAAGUUUUGUGUAAGUAACUGUGAACAUAUUGACGGUACCUAAUCAGAAAGCCACGGCUAACUACGUG